rnacentral:tRNA from 1 species
GGGUCACUAGCUCAGUGGUAGAGCGCUUUCCUGAUAAGAAAGAGGUCAAUGGUUCGAUCCCAUUGUGACCCA